GAAGAAAAAAUAAGAAGAAGCAGAAGAUGGUUAAAUUAGCUGUGAUUUGGUUAGUAAUUUCGAUUUAUCUCUUCUGCUAUGUAUCAUCAAACACAGCCUUUAUCCAAGUAGGAUAUGAAUCGCCAAAGAUAAUUGGUGGGACAGAAACAAGAGAAGGGGUUUGGGAGAAAAAGUUGAUCAAAGGGAGUAAGAUUGCAGUAGGAGGCAGUGUUUCAAAGGCUGCAAAAAUAAAAGAAUCACCACCAAGGCCUGGACCAUGAAGGGAAAAGAAGAUAGCGUUUUUUUUCUUAAUAACUGUGUUUGUAUAGUAAAUUAAAAAAAUUCACAAUCUUAAACUGGAAGAAAAAUAGUAUUACCCCCAAUAUGUUAAACUGGAAGAGUUAAAAACAAAAGCAUAUCGAAAACUCCAUAGAAUUACUUCAAACUUGAAUACAUCCAUAAGCUUCACAAAAUCAUAACAGCACCCGCAACGCGGGAUGCUAAUGAAUCCUUAGCAUUAACUCCUAUGCUAAAUGAAUUAAAAAAUAUUAAAACAAUUACUGUACCUAAGAAAGAGUAAUUAAGGAAAUCAAGGACUUGAUCCUUAGCACAAUUUCGUCCUUUUCGUUCAUUCUUUCCUGAUUCCUAUCAUCAUCAUCAUCUUAUUCUUCAAUUUUCGUUCAUUCUUUUCUGAUUCGGACUCUCGAUUUUGACAGGAUAAUCAAUCGAUGAGAGCGAAGGAGAAGACAAGAAAUUACAGUCAGCUCAGCUGUUGCCUCUACAACUCUCUCUCUCUAACUCCGUUGUUCAUCUGGGAACGAGGACGCUCCUUCGCCAUCGGUGGUGAUGGACUCCGACUUCGACGCCAAGACGUUCCGUAGGAACUUAACAAGAAGCGAUAAUUACAAUCGCAAAGGGUUUGGACACAAGGAGGAGACUCUCAAGCUCAUGAAUCGCGAGUACACCACACAAGACAAGAUUGCAGAUUUUGAGAUGAAGCUGAUGGAUAUCGACAGUUAGCAUUUAGGAAUCCCUGAUGCUGAGUACCACUCUAUUGUGAGGAUGCCUUCGGGUGAAUUUUCCAGGAUAUGCAAAGAUCUCAGUAGUAUUGGUGACACAGGUAAUUGAGUGAAAGUUUUCUGUUUUCUUCUUUUAUGUUUCUUUAGUGUAUUCAAGGUUUGCCUGAAGGCGCUUUGCGCAAGAUUAUCUUGACUGCAUCUGGUGGAGCUUUUAGAGACUGGCCUGUUGAAAAGCUCAAGGAAGUUAAAGUAGCAGAUGCUUUGAAGCAUCCUAACUGGAACAUGGGAAAGAAAAUCACAGUCGACUCAGCUACGCUUUUCAACAAGGUUCUUUGAAGCAUCCUAACUGGAACAGUUAUGUUUGACCUGUUCUUAUGUGUGAUUGAAUGAUUAGUGAUGAAUGAUGAUAGUUAGUAAAGAUGUAAAAACUGAUUAGUUGGUAUAGAGACUGAAGUCUUGUGAACUUUCUCAUUUUAUUUGCUAAGUUACUAUGGUGAAAAGGUUUGCUAAGUUACA